rnacentral:rRNA from 1 species
UACAGAGGUCUCAAGCGUUGUUCGGAUUCAUUGGGCGUAAAGGGUGCGUAGGCGGCGCGGUAAGUCGGGUGUGAAAUCUCGGGGCUUAACUCCGAAACUGCAUUCGAUACUGCCGUGCUUGAGGACUGGAGAGGAGACUGGAAUUUACGGUGUAGCGGUGAAAUGCGUAGAUAUCGUAAGGAAGACCAGUGGCGAAGGCGACUUCCUGGACCAAUACUGACGCUCAGGUGCGAAAGCGUGGGGAGCAAACAGG